rnacentral:rRNA from 1 species
UUGACCUCGGAUCAGGUAGGACUACCCGCUGAACUUAAGCAUAUCAAUAAGCGCAGUAAAAGAAACCGACAGGAAUUGCCCCAGUAUCGUCUAGUGAAGCGGCAACAGCUCAUAUUUGGAAUCUGGCCCCCAGGGCCCGAGUUGUAAUCUGGAGAGGAUGCUUCUGGCGCGGCGCCUUCCGAGUUCCCUGCAACGGGACGCCGGAGAGGGUGAGAGCCCCGUACGGUUGGACGCCUAGCCUUUGUGAAGCUCCUUCGACGAGUCGAGUAGUUUGGGAAUGCUGCUCAAAAUGGGAGGUAAAUUUCUUCUAAAGCUAAAUACCGGCCAGAGACCGAUAGCGCACAAGUAGAGUGAUCGAAAGAUGAAAAGCACUUUGAAAAGAGGGUCAAACAGUACGUGAAAUUGUUGAAAGGAAG